rnacentral:rRNA from 1 species
UCUACCUUUUGGUGGGGAAUAACCCUGGGAAACCGGGGCUAAUACCGCAUAAGCCUGAAAAGGGAAAGGCGAAAGUUGCCGAAAGAGGAGCCCGCGGCUGAUUAGCUAGUUGGUGAGGUAAAGGCUCACCAAGGCGAAGAUCGGUAGCCGGCCUGAGAGGGCACACGGCCACACUGGCACUGAAACACGGGCCAGACUCCUACGGGAGGCAGCAGUGGGGAAUCUUGCACAAUGGGGGAAACCCUGAUGCAGCGACGCCGCGUGAGUGAUGAAGCCCUUCGGGGUGUAAAGCUCUUUCGGCAGGGACGAUAAUGACGGUACCUGAAGAAGAAGCUGCGGCUAACUACGUGCCAGCAGCCGCGGUAAUACGUAGGCAGCGAGCGUUGUUCGGAGUUACUGGGCGUAAAGAGUGCGUA